rnacentral:rRNA from 1 species
UACAGGGGGGGCAAGCGUUGUUCGGAAUUACUGGGCGUAAAGGGUUUGUAGGUGGCUUGCUAAGUCAGACGUGAAAUCCCUCAGCUUAACUGGGGAACUGCGUCUGAUACUGGCGAGCUUGAGUGCAGGAGAGGAACGCGGAAUUCCAGGUGUAGCGGUGAAAUGCGUAGAUAUCUGGAAGAACACCGGUGGCGAAGGCGGCGUUCUGGACUGCAACUGACGCUGAGGCGCGAAAGCGUGGGUAGCAAACGGG